rnacentral:rRNA from 1 species
CUACAUGAAGCUGGAAUCGCUAGUAAUCGCGAAUCAGAAUGUCGCGGUGAAUACGUUCCCGGGUCUUGUACACACCGCCCGUCACACCAUGGGAGUCGGAUAUGCCCGAAGUCAGUGACCCAACCAUAUGGAGGGAGCUGCCGAAGGUGGAGCCGAUAACUGGGGUGAAGUCGUAACAAGGUAUC